ACUCAAAGGAAUUGACGGGGACCCGCACAAGCGGUGGAACAUGUGGUUUAAUUCGAGGCAACGCGAAGAACCUUACCAGGCCUUGACAUGCCCUCUAUAGGGACCAGAGAUGGUCUCUUUCACUUCGGGUGGGAGGAGCACAGGUGCUGCAUGGCUGUCGUCAGCUCGUGUCGUGAGAUGUUGGGUUAAGUCCCGCAACGAGCGCAACCCUCAUUCUCUGUUGCUAACAGGUUAAGCUGAGCACUCUGAGAAAACUGCCGGUGAUAAGCCGGAGGAAGGUGGGGAUGACGUCAAGUCCUCAUGGCCCUUACGGCCUGGGCUACACACGUGUUACAAUGGUGGUGACAAAGAGCAGCUAACCCGCGAGGGCAUGCUAAUCUCUAAAAGCCACCUCAGUUCAGAUUGUACUCUGCAACUCGAGUACAUGAAGUUGGAAUCGCUAGUAAUCGCGGAUCAGAACGCCGCGGUGAAUACGUUCCCGGGUCUUGUACACACCGCCCGU
rnacentral:rRNA from 1 species